GGGGUAGUAAUGGUUUCGACAGGGACCAUGAAGCCGGAGAAGCUAUCCGAACGGGAUCGCGUUAAAUCCCAAAAGACAAAAUAAACGCAGACGAUAAUUACGCGUUAGCAGCUGCCUAAGCGGCUGCCGUCGGCCCGGAUGUACCUGUCCGACCGGAUACCGGCGUCAAACAGACAGGAAACGACAUAUGCAAAGCUUUGAGUAUAUGGGCGUAAUAUGAAGCUACCGAAACCGUAAGGGCGUGCGCCUCCGUACGGUGGAGGGAAUUCCAAUCGGCGUACUAUGAUAGUAGAAGGACGGUGGAUCGGUUUUUGGACGCGGGUUCGACUCCCGCCUACUCCACUC
rnacentral:tmRNA from 1 species